UUGGAGGGCAAGUCUGGUGCCAGCAGCCGCGGUAAUUCCAGCUCCAAUAGCGUAUAUUAAAGUUGCUGCAGUUAAAAAGCUCGUAGUUGAAUUUCGGGAUCAUCAGGUUGGUCGUGCCACUGGUAUGUACUUGCCUCGGUGGUCCCUCCCUCUUGAAGAACCGUAAUGCCAUUAAUUUGGUGUUGCGGGGAAUCAGGACUGUUACUUUGAAAAAAUUAGAGUGUUUAAAGCAGGCAAACGCUUGAAUACUUUAGCAGGGAAUAAUGAAAUAGGACGUUUGGUCUUAUUUUGUUGGUUUCUAGGAUCGACGUAAUGAUUAAUAGGGAUAGUUGGGGGCACUAGUAUUCAAUUGUCAAAGGUGAAAUUCUUGGAUUUAUUGAAAACUGACUACGGCGAAAGCAUUUGCCAAGGAGGUUUUCUUUAAUCAAGUACGAAAGUUAGGGGAUCGAAGACGAUCAGAUACCGUCGUAGUCUUAACCAUAAACUAUGCCGACUAGGGACCGGAUGAUGUUAAUUUUUUAAUGACUCAUUCGGCGCCUUACGGGAAAC
rnacentral:rRNA from 1 species